GGCGAACGCUGGCGGCGUGCCUAAUACAUGCAAGUCGAGCGGACGGAUGGGAGCUUGCUCCCAGACCGUCAGCGGCGGACGGGUGAGUAACACGUGGGCAACCUGCCUGUAAGACUGGGAUAACUCCGGGAAACCGGGGCUAAUACCGGAUAACUCUUUCCCUCACAUGAGGGAAAGCUGAAAGAUGGCAUCUCGCUAUCACUUACAGAUGGGCCCGCGGCGCAUUAGCUAGUUGGUGAGGUAACGGCUCACCAAGGCGACGAUGCGUAGCCGACCUGUGAGGGUGAUCGGCCACACUGGGACUGAGACACGGCCCAGACUCCUACGGGAGGCAGCAGUAGGGAAUCUUCCGCAAUGGACGAAAGUCUGACGGAGCAACGCCGCGUGAGUGAUGAAGGUUUUCGGAUCGUAAAACUCUGUUGUCAGGGAAGAACAAGUACCGGAGUAACUGCCGGUACCUUGACGGUACCUGACCAGAAAGCCACGGCUAACUACGUG
rnacentral:rRNA from 1 species